rnacentral:rRNA from 1 species
UACGAAGGUCCCAAGCGUUAUCCGGAUUUAUUGGGUUUAAAGGGUGCGUAGGCGGCCUAUUAAGUCAGUGGUGAAAGCUCCAUGCUUAACAUGGAAAUUGCCAUUGAUACUGAUGGGCUUGAGUAUAUUUGAAGUGGGCGGAAUGUGUCGUGUAGCGGUGAAAUGCUUAGAUAUGACACAGAACACCGAUUGCGUAGGCAGCUCACUAAACUAUAACUGACGCUGAGGCACGAAAGCAUGGGGAUCAAACAGG